rnacentral:rRNA from 1 species
CCUACGGGUGGCUGCAGUAGGGAAUUUUCGUCAAUGGGCGCAAGCCUGAACGAGCAAUGCCGCGUGAACGAGGAAGGUCUUCGGAUCGUAAAGUUCUGUUGAAGGGGAAAAAGAGCGGAGAGAGGAAAUGAUCUCUGAUUGAUAUUACCCUUCGAGGAAGUCACGGCUAACUACGUGCCAGCAGCCGCGGUAAUACGGAGGGGGCGAGCGUUAUCCGGAAUGAUUGGGCGUAAAGGGUGCGUAGGCGGCCUGCUAAGUCUAGAGUGAAAGGUACGGGCUCAACCGGUACAGGCCAUGGAAACUGGCGGGGUAGAGAGCAGGAGAGGGCGGUGGAAAUCCAAGUGUAGCGGUAAAAUGCGUAGAUAUAUGGAAGAACACCAGUGGCGAAGGCGGCCGCCUGGCCUGUUGACUGACGCUGAGGCACGAAAGCGUGGGGAGCAAAUAGGAUUAGAUACCCGGGUAGUC